rnacentral:rRNA from 1 species
GCUUAACGCGAAGAACCUUACCUGGCCUUGACAUGCAUUAGACCGGACCUGAAAGGGUCCUUUCCUUCGGGACUGGUGCACAGGUGCUGCAUGGCUGUCGUCAGCUCGUGUCGUGAGAUGUUGCGUUAAGUCGCGCAACGAGCGCAACCCCUGUCCUUAGUUGCCAUCAUUCAGUUGGGCACUCUAGGGAGACAAACCCUCUUUGAGGGGGAGGUGGGGAGUGACGUCAAGUCAGGAUGGCCCUUACGGCCGAGGGCGUGCACACGUACUACAAUGCCCGGUACAGAGGGAAGCAAUAACCGCGAGUGGAGCAAAUCCUGAAAACCGGGACCCGAGUUCAGAUUGUAGUCUGCAACUCGACUACAUGAAGUUGGAAUCGCUAGUAAUGGCGCAUCAGCUACGGCGCCGUGAAUACGUUCCCGGGUCUUGUACACACCG